rnacentral:rRNA from 1 species
UACGUAGGGUGCGAGCGUUGUCCGGAAUUACUGGGCGUAAAGAGCUCGUAGGUGGUUUGUCGCGUUGUUCGUGAAAACUCACAACUCAAUUGUGGGCGUGCGGGCGAUACGGGCAGACUGGAGUACUGCAGGGGAGACUGGAAUUCCUGGUGUAGCGGUGAAAUGCGUAGAUAUCUGGAGGAACACCGGUGGCGAAGGCGGCAUCCUGGACCGGCAGUUGACGCUGAGG